CAUUAGUACAGAGUUGUUGCAGAUCUCCGCUGUAUUCUUCUUUUCUGUCAGCAGACUGUAUCUGGAGAACAAUCAUGUCCGCUAAAGGAGGUAGCCAAUGCAAGCAAGACCAAUGUAAAGAUCCUGACCCCUGCAUACCAGUACAGAAAUGUCAGCAAGCCAAGCCCAUAUGCAAAGAUCCUUGCCAAACAACUAACCCCUGUCAGCAGCAAGGUCAAGGGCAUGAGCACCAGGGCCACCAUGGAGGAGGUGGAGGAGGCGGAGGAGGUGGAGCAGCCAAGAAGUAAAAAACUCAAGAAGGAAUCUAACAGUUGUGUGUCAGUCACUCACAUUGAAUACAGUUAACUGUUCAUUCAUGUUUUAAAUUGAAUAAAUAUCUUAAAAUAUUA